rnacentral:piRNA from 1 species
AGGAGAAAAGUUGGUACCGGGUGUUG